GGCGUUGAUAAAUUGACAGAUAAUGGAGCUCAAGAUCAUGACGGUCGCCGUUUGUUUAUUAUUUUAAGUUUUGGAACUGACGUAAUAUCCUAUUUUUAUUUGUUAAAUUUCUCAAUUAUUCAACAGCAUUUUUUCUCUAAUGGAAUCAAUAUGUAAAGUGCAAUAAAUUGGGUAGACCAAAGACUAUAUUUUACUGAGUACUGAAAUAACUACUCAAUGUCUCAAAAGCGAAGAAAGAAGACUGUCAAAGAUGGCUCAGAUGAAUUUCAGUGCUUUGAUGAUUUAUCAAAACACGCCAAAUUUCUAAUAAAAGAACUCACUCAUUCUGGAGAAACUACCUUGAAUGCAAGCCAAUUUAAAGAGUUGAAGAGUAUAUGCAAAAAAUCAAACGAUCAUUUGAAUUUUGCUUACAAAUGUAUUUCGAGGGAGUUAACUCAAAAUCAUUCAGAAAUUCGAUACAGCGCAUUCCAAUUAAUCGAUGAAUUCUGUAGGAGGUCUCUGGUUUUCCGAGAACUGGUAGUUCACAAUUUACAAAAUAUUUUGGAGCUGACAACCGAAAUUGAAUCCAAGAAACCCCUUCCACUACCUCGAAAAGCUGCUGAACGAUUGCAAAAAUUAGCUUUAAAAACUGUGCAUGAUUGGUAUGAAGAAUUUGGUUCAAAGUACAAGACAUUCGAAUGUGCCAUCAAAUUUUUGCAACGUAAAAGACAGGUGGAUUUCAAAUCACUUCAAGUUUUGUCAGCUGAAGAAAGAGAAAGGAGAGCUGAAAAUGAAAGAAGAACACAGUCAGUUAAUGAACAGCGCUUUGACAGAGUCAAUAAUGAAUUUAAUGACCUGCUCCCGGAAAUCAUCAGCACCGUUAAAGCAUUUGAAAACGGCUUGGCACUCCUGUUGCCAAGGCCGGAAGACUUCUACAUCUCGGAAGAGCAGGCUGAAAAUGAAUCUGACAUGACAGGAUCCUUUUUCGAUACAAAGAAGAGUGACAAUACAACCGGGUUGAACAGCUGUAGCAGCUCUGAUGAUGAUGAGCCUGAGGAGGACUUCAAUCCAACCAUGAGAGAAAUUGGGGCCCUAACCAAUAAGCACACCAUAGAAGUCGAUAUUGUGCCAAAUUCGAUUAAGGAAACUCCAGAAAACUCUGUAAUUCUUGAAAACGUUAAAGACGCCAAUAAGUUGAUAAUGAAUAACUAUCUACCCAAAAUUAAAGCUUGGAUGCAGAUUGUCUCCAAAGUUGAAGGAAGUCCAGCUUUUCUAAAGAAGUUAGUUGAUUAUAAAAAUAAUUUGGAAAAAGCUAUUGAACGAUACAGACGGCUGAAUAUUGUGCGAGAAUCAGAUGAUGACUGUGUCUCUACGGAUUCGGAACUGGAAGAGGUGGUUGAAGAUGAUGAACUGAGAAUAAAGAAGGAAAAGAAAUGUAAGAAAACUGAUAGCCCCAUGAAGAAAAGUGAAAUUGUUAGUAAUUGGAGUAUAGUUUCGAAGGAAGAGAAAUCUGAGGAUCCUACAACUGUACAAGCAUUACUUGCUUCACAACAGAAGAAGGAUGAACUUAGUUCCAGACAAGGUGGAAAACAGUCAAAAACUGAAACAAAUACUGAAGAUAAGAGUUCAUCAUCUGUAUGUGACGACGCUGUUCCGUCCACUUCAAAGGAAACCAAUCAAGAGAUCAAUGAAAGAAAACGUAAACUCCUUGAGAAAGCUCCGAAAUUGCCGUUUGAUAUUGAUUUGUAUCAUUGGGAAGAUACAGAACUCAAAGCACCAACCAUCCUUCCGGUGGCGUUAGAUGGACACAGGUUCUGGUCAUCUGUGUCUGAUGAUAAUCUGGAAUUGACAGUGCCUGAAGGAUCAUCGAUGCUGAGGACCAGAGUGAUAGAAUAUGUAGGCGAAUUCGAGCCCAUUUUAAGAAGUUGUCGUUAUCCAUUGCCUUCUGGCAAACUUUGUCCUCGUCAGGAUCGAUAUAAGUGCCCAUUCCAUGGACCCAUUGUCCCGCGUGAUGAGCUUGGGAAAUGUGUGAAUGCUGAGGAUGAGCUGAGGCAGAGAAUCAAGGAAGAGAAGCAGAACGCAGAAAAACCUCCAGAUUGGCAAGAACCAGCCCUUUUAGAAGCAAUCAAAGCGGAAACUGGAAUUGAUCUUAAAAUGCCCGAUAAAAAAGGGAAACAAAAGAAGAAGAAAUAUCCUAAUCUCACUGACAUAAAAAAAUCAUUGGACACAACAACAAAUAGACUGAAUAAAAAGAUCUUUGAUAAAGCAAGCAUGAAAAGAGUUGCCAACAGACUAGACAGCAUUGACAGACGUCGCUACAGGGACAAAUUUGGCGACCAAUUCAACUAUAUGUACGAGUGAAAAUAUCCAAACUAUUUCUCUCUCGUUCUUCACAAAAUUGAUAUUGAUUAUCAAGUUAUUGAAGAUACUUCAAUUUUUUGAAAUACCUUGAAAAGUGACCAUUUCUGCACUGAUUGCAGGCCGCAAAGAAUCACUUUGCGCACGCAAAGAAUCACUUUUCCGCACUACUGCGCAAAGUGAGUACUUUGCGUACUCCAGAUUUGCAGCAUGACAACACAAAAUAGUUAUUACGUUAUAUGGAGCACCAGUGCAGGAAAAUGAAAAUUAAGUUGGUAAUACUCAUAGUGAGGCCCACGUUAUAAUGGCAGUGGAGAACAGCGUUGCCUUGCCAUUAUGUGCCUUGAUUAUAGUCAUUUCAAUGCUUACAUAAGAUAAACCCCCUUCAAGCAGUCAUAUAAAUUUUCAAUUGAAUUACUAAUCAUUAUAAUUCAACUAUUAUUAUUCAAUUUUAAAUAAAUUAAGGGUUUUAUUAAUAAUAAAAUUACACAGAAGAACAUUUGAUGGAUUUCAGGGAAUUUUACCUAAAUUACCCACUUUCCAUAUUCAACUGUAGGAAAAAUUUAAUGUGAAAUACGUGCGCAAAGUUCCUCUGCUGCACUCAAGAAACCAUUCCGCCCUUGCCUACGGCUCGGGCGUAAACGUUUCUUUCGGUGCAGCAAACUGUCACUUUGCGCACUAGUUGCACAAAUAACUAUUUUCACGCGCAGUUGUAGAAAAAUGUAUUAUUCAAUGUAUGAAUGUAAAUAAAUAUAUGAUCUCUUUCCAGUAAA